AAACUGGAGAGUUUGAUCCUGGCUCAGAACUAACGCUGGCGGCGUGCCUAACACAUGCAAGUCGUACGAGAAAGUUGGCUUCGGCCGAUGAGUAAAGUGGCGCACGGGUGAGUAAUGCGUGGAUAAUCUGCCCUUUAGUUGGGAAUAACGUACCGAAAGGUGCGCUAAUACCUGAUAAUACUGCAUAACUACUGUUGUGUAGUCAAAGAAGGCCUCUGUUUACAAGCUUUUGCUGAAGGAUGAGUCCGCGUACCAUUAGCUGGUUGGUGGGGUAAUGGCCUACCAAGGCUACGAUGGUUAGCUGGUCUGAGAGGAUGAUCAGCCACACUGGAACUGAGACACGGUCCAGACUCCUACGGGAGGCAGCAGUGAGGAAUAUUGCGCAAUGGGGGCAACCCUGACGCAGCAACGCCGCGU
rnacentral:rRNA from 1 species